CAGGGCAAUGCCGGCUCCCGGGACGCGCGCGCGCGAGAGAUAGGGGCUGCUGGUGGUGGUGACGACGACGACGGAGGCAGCGCAGCAGCGGCUGAGGGACCCGCUCGCUCGCACACUGAGCCUCUCUCACAGCAGCGAGGAAGGGGACGGCAGCUCAUUCACACAGGACGCUUUCUGAUUGUUUGUAUAAGCCAUGACUGACUCUGGAGAACAGACCUAGCUUUCUAGAUGGAAUAUUGAUAAUUUCCUCAGUUUGUAAGGUUGUUGCAUCAUGUGCCUCUAGACCAUGCCCCAUGGCGGAUGAGUGGAGUUCCAUGUGCAGAUUCCCUGAGCACCAAAAUGGGGUCCCUACAGCUGUACCUGGACCCAUGGGUUCUCAUGCUCUGCCUGCAGAGGAGACACCAGAAUCCCUUGUUCAGGACCCUGCAUAGCCCAGAUGCUGCUCUCUUGCUAUUCUCCCC